UGCCUGCUUUUGCCUUCUUAGCUUAAAGAUGUCAACGCUGCACAGGCUCUAUCACAGGCCGAGAGAGGAAAACUCCCAGGUAGGCUGGCCGGAGUCACUGAGAGCUCGCCUUACAUCCUGGAUCGCCCAGAACUCAGCGAACUCACGCACCUGAGAUGCAGGCACCCACCCUGCCCAGAUGAAAACAGAACAAGAAGGUGCCACCUAUGAACCCAGAAGUGGGCCCUCAUCAGACACCACAGAGAAUCAGCUGGCACCAUGAUCUUGGACGCCAGCCUCCGGAACUGUGAAAAGCCGACUUCUGUUGCUCGUAGGCUACCCAUCUGUGGUGUUUUGGUAUAGCAGCCUGAAGGGGCUAAGACAAGCGUCAACCUCGCCACUUUCUGGAGUGACAGGAAAAGAGCCUUUGGAACUAAGCAAGGCACCACAUUUUGAGGGAGCCCAAGUUACAGGGAGAGGACACAUGAGGAUGUUCAGACAACAGCCCUAGGUAGGCCCUCAGCCAGCAGCCACAGUAAAACAUGAGACAAGCAAGUGAACAAGCCUUCAGAUGACUUCAGCCCCAGCCUUCAAGUCUUGCAACUGAAUAUGCCCCCAGGCACAGUGGAGAAAGGACUGCCAUUCUGCUGUGCCCUAUCUUAAUUCUUGACCUGUGGAAAUUAUGUGAGAUCAUAAAUGGUGUUUAUUAUUUUUUAGCCACUGUGCUCUGAAGUACUUUGUUACACAGCAAUACAUAACUAAAACACAGUCCAAGAACAAAACAGCAAAUGAUUAUCAGCUCAUAUGCUAACUCCAAUCAACUGA